GGGGCCGACCGGUAUUGACAGUAAGUGUGAUGUAGUUGCCUGCGUGCCAGGAGGUGAGCGUACUCCUGUGAUCAAUGCGUUCGAACUAUACUUGGCGAAACUUCUUACGCCAUGGCUGCCUAAUCUUAAUCCGAUAGGAUAAGAUUUCGGCUUAAAGGGUUGAUUCUUUAGAAGAAUCCCCGGCCACAUCCUACCAUCCUCCGCCUGAUCGGGAUGGAAUUAGGGUGUCGACUUGAUAGGGCUAGCUCUCAGUGUCGUCGUGCGCGGUGAGUGAAACCUAAGCGGCUGGGAGGAAUAGUAGGUUGUCUUUGGCCAGCUACCCUCUGAGAUCCUAAGCAUAGACUACGCAUGUAGACGGCCACUCUGUCCCUUGUCUGGACGUGGGUUCGAAUCCCACCGGCUCCACAA
rnacentral:tmRNA from 1 species